rnacentral:rRNA from 1 species
UUUCGCAAUGCCCGAAAGGGUGACGAAGCGACGCCGCGUGUGGGAAGAAGGCCUUCGGGUUGUAAACCACUGUUGGGAGUUAGGAAGUGUGGGGGUGUUAAUAGCGCCUUCACUUGACUAAAGCUCCAGAGGAAGCCACGGCUAACUCUGUGCCAGCAGCCGCGGUAAUACAGAGGCGGCAAGCGUUGUUCGGAAUUAUUGGGCGUAAAGAGCACGUAGGCGGCUAUGUAAGUCGGUUGUGAAAGCCUUCCGCUCAACGGGAGAACAGCAUCCGAUACUGCAUGGCUUGAGUGCGGGAGGGGAGAGUGGAACUUCUGGUGGAGCGGUGAAAUGCGUAGAUAUCAGAAGGAACGCCGGCGGCGAAAGCGGCUCUCUGGCCCAUAACUGACGCUGAGUGUGCGAAAGCUAGGGGAGCAAACGGGAUUAGAUACCCCGGUAGUCCUAGCCGUAAACGAUGGGCACUAAGUAGAGGGGUUUUA